AGUGAACGCUGGCGGUAGGCCUAACACAUGCAAGUCGAACGGCAGCACAGUAAGAGCUUGCUCUUACGGUUGGCGAGUGGCGGACGGGUGAGGAAUACAUCGGAAUCUACUUUUUCGGGGGGGAUAACGUAGGGAAACUUACGCUAAUACCGCAUACGACCUACGGGUGAAAGCAGGGGAUCUUCGGACCUUGCGCGAUUGAAUGAGCCGAUGGCGGAUUAGCUAGUUGGCGGGGUAAAGGCCCACCAAGGCGACGAUCCGUAGCUGGUCUGAGAGGAUGAUCAGCCACACUGGAACUGAGACACGGUCCAGACUCCUACGGGAGGCAGCAGUGGGGAAUAUUGGACAAUGGGCGCAAGCCUGAUCCAGCCAUACCGCGUGGGUGAAGAAGGCCUUCGGGUUGUAAAGCCCUUUUGUUGGGAAAGAAAAGCAGCAGGUUAAUACCCCGCUGUUCUGACGGUACCCAAAGAAUAAGCACCGGCUAACUUCGUG
rnacentral:rRNA from 1 species